rnacentral:rRNA from 1 species
GAUGAACGCUGGCGGCGUGCCUAAUACAUGCAAGUCGAGCGAACGGACGAGAAGCUUGCUUUUCUGAUGUUAGCGGCGGACGGGUGAGUAACACGUGGAUAACCUACCUAUAAGACUGGGAUAACUUCGGGAAACCGGAGCUAAUACCGGAUAAUAUUUUGAACCGCAUGGUUCAAAAGUGAAAGACGGUCUUGCUGUCACUUAUAGAUGGAUCCGCGCUGCAUUAGCUAGUUGGUAAGGUAACGGCUCACCAAGGCAACGAUGCAUAGCCGACCUGAGAGGGUGAUCGGCCACACUGGAACUGAGACACGGUCCAGACUCCUACGGGAGGCAGCAGUAGGGAAUCUUCCGCAAUGGGCGAAAGCCUGACGGAGCAACGCCGCGUGAGUGAUGAAGGUCUUCGGAUCGUAAAACUCUGUUAUUAGGGAAGAACAUAUGUAUAAGUAACUGUGCACAUCUUGACGGUACCUAAUCAGAAAGCCACGGCUAACUACGUG